UACAGAGGUCUCAAGCGUUGUUCGGAUUCACUGGGCGUAAAGGGUGCGUAGGUGGCGAGGAAAGUCUGAUGUGAAAUCUCCGGGCUUAACCCGGAAAUGGCAUUGGAAACUACCUUGCUCGAGGAUUGGAGGGGGGACUGGAAUACUUGGUGUAGCAGUGAAAUGCGUAGAUAUCAAGUGGAACACCAGUGGCGAAGGCGAGUCCCUGGACAACUCCUGACACUGAGCACGAAAGCUAGGGGAGCAAACGGG
rnacentral:rRNA from 1 species